CCGGCGCACGGGUGAGUAACACGUAUGCAAUCCACCUGUAACAGGGGGAUAACCCGGAGAAAUCCGGACUAAUACCCCAUAAUAUGGGCGCUCCGCAUGGAGAGUUCAUUAAAGAGAGCAAUUUUGGUUACAGACGAGCAUGCGCUCCAUUAGCCAGUUGGCGGGUAACGGCCCGCCAAGGCGACGAUGGAUAGGGGUUCUGAGAGGAAGGUCCCCCACAUUGGAACUGAGACACGGUCCAA
rnacentral:rRNA from 1 species